AAUGCGAAUGCAAUAGCCAAAGAACUUUCACCGGCACAAUCAGAACCUUCCACGUUCAUCGCCGAUGUCAUUAGAUCCUUCAACUGGACAUCACUCUGCAUCCUGUAUGACUCUUCGUCAGGAUAUACAGCUUCAUCGCUGCACUCUGUAAUGGCGUCAAAGACACCUUCCUGUACAAUCAUGGACUUCAACAUUGACAAAACAGAUGUGAAUGACGUCCUGAAGACUGUGAACUUCAUCAUGUCUCCAAACAUCAACAUAGUACUGCUCUGCAAUACCAUUGGUGCUAUACAUACUCUCAAAACGGCCAAUAGUUAUGACUGCACAUCCAACAGAACAAGUGACUACAGACACCUCUCCAAGUGGGUAGUCCUUGCCGAUAGACGUACAUUGCAUGAUAUCCGUCAAUUGGCUCUGGGUUUGGAAAAUGUCCUUUUUGUA